GUGGGGAAUAUUGGACAAUGGGCGAAAGCCUGAUCCAGCCAUGCCGCGUGUGUGAAGAAGGUCUUCGGAUUGUAAAGCACUUUAAGUUGGGAGGAAGGGCAGUAAGUUAAUACCUUGCUGUUUUGACGUUACCGACAGAAUAAGCACCGGCUAACUUCGUGCCAGCAGCCGCGGUAAUACGAAGGGUGCAAGCGUUAAUCGGAAUUACUGGGCGUAAAGCGCGCGUAGGUGGUUUUGUAAGUUGGAGGUGAAAUCCCCGGGCUCAACCUGGGAACUGCCUCCAAAACUGCAUGACUAGAGUACGGUAGAGGGUAGUUGAAUUUCCUGUGUAGCGGUGAAAUGCGUAGAUAUAGGAAGGAACACCAGUGGCGAAGGCGACUACCUGGACUGAUACUGACACUGAGGUGCGAAAGCGUGGGGAGCAAACAGGAUUAGAAACCCUGGUAGUCC
rnacentral:rRNA from 1 species